GUCGAAGACCCACCAGCUAAGAUAUCAUGUUCAAAUGUUUGGCAUUACCAGAAGGAUCCCACAAGCAGCAGACAGGAACAUCAGAGACAAGAAAGUCGGCGGCAGAGCGAUUAGCGCCAUAGAGACAUAAAAUGAGAGAGACAGGAAAUGUUAGAGAGACAUAAACAGGAAGAGGAGAUGGCACGCAAGAGCCAAAGAAAGGCAGAGACGGCGAUGCUUCAAAGCCGGUGGCUCUAAAUGUAGAGCUCCUGCGAACCCAGGGAUGGAGACAUUGCUUGGAGCUAGAAAAUUAAAAUAGUCUUCCCCCGA
rnacentral:lncRNA from 1 species